GAGGGGGACAGACGGACAGACGGGGACAGAUGGGGAUAAGGACAGACAGACGGACGUGGAUGGGGACAGACGGACAGACGGGGACAGGGACAGAUGGGGACAGACGGACAUAUGGGGCCAGAUGGGGAUAAGGACAGACAGACAGACAGACCGGGACAGACAGACGGACGUGGAGGGGGACAGACGGACACAGAUGGGGACAGACAGACAGACAUGGAGGAGGAGAGACAGACACAGACAGAUGGGGACAGACAGACACAGAUGGGGACAGACAGACGGACGUGGAUGGAUGGGGAUAAGGACAGACAGACGGACAGACAGACACAGACAGAUGGGGACAGACAGACACAGAUGGGGACAGACAGACGGACGUGGAUGGAUGGGGAUAAGGACAGACAGACGGAC
ensembl:lncRNA